GGAGCCUUUGCUAAGUACACACAUGCAUUGGCCUACCUUACAUUGCUUAGUUGGGCUCUGAUUGUUGGAACUCCAAAGAGAGAAACACACCAAAAACCUUCUGGUAGUGUGCUAUGGCUUCUUACCAUUUCCAGUGACUCAGGCUGAUGGGCAGAGUGAUAUCAGCUGAGAAGACUCAAGUGCAGAGGGAAGCCCGAGGAGACACGUGAUGUUUGGAGGUCGUAUAAAAAGGACUUGAUGGACAGUGACAGGAGCCAGGAGUUUGGCUUGCUCGCAUAGCUAAACGUUUGUUGGUCUUGAGUCUUCGCUGAUCUUCACUUCUUUGAGAGAGGCGCAGCUGAGAACAUUUCCCCCUGGCAUUCCUGUUGUCCCUGGUCCCUCCUGUUGACUCGUGUCAAUGUGGCAGAGGCCUAGCUGUCUCUGCUAGGUCGUGCCACCACUACUGAUUUGUGUUUGCUAUCCUGACUCUAUCGAACUGGACUGUUGGUGCAUCCAUGAAAUGUUUGCAGGUGGAUCGAGCUGCCCCUGCUGACUUGUGAACUGAACCGCUGAUUUCCUGAUAACGCAGAUGGGAUUUGUUCCAAAGAACCAUUUCUAAACAGGCCAACUUCCCCAUAUCCUUUCUUUUCCACUACUUCUGGUGGGAGGUGGGCUAGAAGGGAGGUUAAAAUGUUUUAAAACUCUGAUUAAAAGUAGGUUUUGUCUCAGC
rnacentral:lncRNA from 1 species